rnacentral:lncRNA from 1 species
GUGGAGGGUUUGGAGCGGGAGGUGGUGUUGGAGGCGGUGCAGGUGGAGUAGGUGGAGGAGGUGGUGGUGGGGGUGGAGGCGGAGGUGGAGGAGGUGGUUUAGGGGGAGGAUCUGGCCAUGGUAGUGGAUUUGGUGCCGGAGGUGUUGGCGGUGGUGGAGGUGGAGGCGGAGGAGGUGGUGGCGGUGGAGGAGGAGGUUUAGGUGGUGGUUCGGGGCAUGGUGGUGGGUUCGGUGGUGGUGCUGGUGGAGGAUUGGGAGGCGGAGCUGGUGGUGGCCUAGGAGGUGGAGCUGGCGGAGGGCGUGGUGGAGGAGUUGGUGUAGGUAUCGGCAUUGGGAUUGGCGUGGGAGUAGGCGGUGGUUCCGGCUCAGGCACCGGCGUUGGGGUAGGCAGCGGCUCCGGCGGUGGAGGUGGCCGAUGAAGAUAAUUAUGUUAAAAUAUUUACUACAUAACUUUGGCUUCUUGAUGUUUCUCCUUUUCAAAAUAGAAUUAUAUCGUGUGUGAAAGUUGUAUUGCAACAGUUCCUCUUCAAUUAUAGCCUUCUUUAACAAACAAGAAACAGAAGGCAAGUAAAUUUAAUGAAUUGAAAAUUAUCUUUUCUUGAAUUAUCUUCAAC